rnacentral:sRNA from 1 species
GACGUGAUGCCACCGCCCCAGUGCGGAUUGGUGAAGACCGUCGCGAGCAGCUGGCCGUCCAUGACCAUCUGCACCGCUUCGGGA